UUUUUGGAACUUGAAUUUUUGGGAUAAUGCUAGUACUUUAGCUGGUGAAGUUGAACAACCUCAAAAGACAUUUCCUAAAGCACUUUUUUCAGCUGGGAUUGUUACAUGUAUUAGUUACGUGUUGCCGCUUUUGGGUACUAGUGGUGCUGUCCCUUUGGAACAAGGUGAGUGGACUGAUGGUUAUUUUGCUAAUUUGGCUUCUAUGAUUGCUGGGAAUUGGUUGAAGUAUUGGAUGGAACUUGGGAUUGUUCUGUCUGUGAUUGGUUUGUAUGAGGCUCAGUUGAGUAGUUGUGCUUACCAAAUUCUUGGAAUGGCUGAGAUGGGGUUGUUGCCUCGGGUUUUCGGUGUAAGAUCAGAAUGGUUCAACACACCUUGGGUUGGGAUUCUUGUACCAACAUUAGUAGCAUUGGUUGUGUCCUACAUGACAUUCACAGAUAUUGUGUCAUCUGUGAAUUUCUUGUAUAGUCUCGGGAUGCUGCUAGAGUUUGCAUCGUUUUUGUGGUUG
rnacentral:misc_RNA from 1 species